rnacentral:misc_RNA from 1 species
AACGCAUAUUGCGCCUGCGCCUCGGCAAAGGCAUGUCUGCCUCAGCGUCGGUUUACCCCCUCCAAUCUCUCUCUUCUUUGCAGAGAGGAGAGGCUUGGGAUGUGACCUUCCCUUUCCCUGGGUUGGUUGAAACCGAUGCCCGUGCCCACCAUCCAAACGAAGGCACAGAAAGGUAGGCCGCUUCCAUCAAGCGGCACUGCCCCUGUGAUCUUCGGGUGGGUGUUCGGGUGACACAGGAAUGGGUUCUCUCUUCAAGUGAGAGAGAGCCAUCACAAUCAAACAUCUGACCUGAGAUCAGGCAAGACCACCCGCUGAACUUAA